GAUACUUGAGACUUUCGUGGUUGUCUCAUCUUACUCGGAAGGCUUCGCAUGAGUGACGAGAGUUUCGUGAUUGUUGUAUCUCGGUCGGAAGGGUUAGCAAGUGGCGACCUUUAUUGGCUUGCAAAGGAAGAUUUGUCCGUUUUUUCUCAUCGUUGCUGUCGACCAUUCUUUUUUCUCACUAGGUUGCUUUGCAUUCACCAGUAUUUCCACAGAUCUUAGGUGGUAGCAUGAAUAAUUCAUCAAAUGGUCCCAUUUUGACACUGCCACUGGUAUGCAAGUGUGGUGAUCGAAGCAGGUUGAAAACCUCGUGGUUUGAGGAUAAUCCAGCCAGAAGAUUCCAUGGUUGUGGUAACUAUAAUGCGUCUCUAAGACAUUGUGAUUAUUUCAGUUGGUGUUAAAUUCAAGAUGGUAGGAGUGAAGGACAAAGUACCUGUUAAAGCAACAUACA